rnacentral:rRNA from 1 species
UACGUAGGUGGCAAGCGUUUGUCCGGAAUUAUUGGGCGUAAAGGGCGCGUAGGCGGUGCGGUAAGUCCGCAGUGAAAUCUCUGGGCUCAACUCAGAGUCUGCUGUGGAAACUGCCGUGCUUGAGUGUGGGAGAGGUGAGUGGAAUUCCCGGUGUAGCGGUGAAAUGCGUAGAUAUCGGGAAGGAACACCUGUGGCGAAAGCGGCUCACUGGACCACAACUGACGCUGAUGCGCGAAAGCUAGGGGAGCAAACAGG